UACCUGGUUGAUCCUGCCAGUAGUCAUAUGCUUGUCUCAAAGAUUAAGCCAUGCAAGUCUAAGUACGAGCUCUCGUACAGUGAAACUGCGAAUGGCUCAUUAAAUCAGUUAUGGUUCAUUUGAUCGUACAGUUUACUUGGAUAACUGUGGUAAUUCUAGAGCUAAUACAUGCGAGAAGCGCCGACCUCGCGGGAGGCGUGCAUUUAUCAGACCAAAAACCGGCCGCGUCUU
rfam:Ciona savignyi cont_45393, whole genome shotgun sequence.